GUAACAUGUGGGAAUCUGCCUUGUGGUUCAGGACAACAUUGGGAAACCGAUGCUAAUACUGGAUAAGCCCUUACGGGGAAAGUUUUAAUGCCAUAAGAUGAGCCCGCAUUUGAUUAGUUAGUUGAUGAGGUAAUGGCUCACCAAGACAAUGAUCAAUAGCUGAUCUGAGAGGAUGAUCAGCCACACUGGGACUGAGACACGGCCCAGACUCCUACGGGAGGCAGCAGUGGGGAAUCUUGCACAAUGGAGGAAACUCUGAUGCAGCGAUGCCGCGUGAGUGAAGAAGGCCUUUGGGUUGUAAAGCUCUUUUGUAGGGGAAGAUAAUGACUGUACCCUAAGAAUAAGGUCCGGCUAACUUCGUGCCAGCAGCCGCGGUAAUACGAAGGGACCUAGCGUAGUUCGGAAUUACUGGGCGUAAAGCACGCGUAGGCCGUUGAGUUAGUUAAUUGUGAAAUCCCAAAGCUUAACUUUGGAACUGCAAUUAAAACUGCUCGACUAGAGUUUGAUAGAGGAAAGCGGAAUACAUAGUGUAGAGGUGAAAUUCGUAGAUAUUAUGUAGAACACCAGUUGCGAAGGCGGCUUUCUGGAUCAACACUGACGCUGAGGCG
rnacentral:rRNA from 1 species